rnacentral:rRNA from 1 species
AUGAACGCUGGCGGCGUGCCUAAUACAUGCAAGUCGAGCGAACAGAUAAGGAGCUUGCUCCUUUGACGUUAGCGGCGGACGGGUGAGUAACACGUGGGUAACCUACCUAUAAGACUGGAAUAACUCCGGGAAACCGGGGCUAAUGCCGGAUAACAUUUAGAACCGCAUGGUUCUAAAGUGAAAGAUGGUUUUGCUAUCACUUAUAGAUGGACCCGCGCCGUAUUAGCUAGUUGGUAAGGUAACGGCUUACCAAGGCAACGAUACGUAGCCGACCUGAGAGGGUGAUCGGCCACACUGGAACUGAGACACGGUCCAGACUCCUACGGGAGGCAGCAGUAGGGAAUCUUCCGCAAUGGGCGAAAGCCUGACGGAGCAACGCCGCGUGAGUGAUGAAGGUCUUCGGAUCGUAAAACUCUAUUAUUAGGGAAGAACAAAUGUGUAAGUAACUGUGCACGUCUUGACGGUACCUAAUCAGAAAGCCACGGCUAACUACGUG